rnacentral:rRNA from 1 species
GCAGUCGAGCGCCCCGCAAGGGGAGCGGCAGACGGGUGAGUAACGCGUGGGAAUCUACCUUUUGCUACGGAAUAACGCAGGGAAACUUGUGCUAAUACCGUAUGUGUCCUUCGGGAGAAAGAUUUAUCGGCAAGAGAUGAGCCCGCGUUGGAUUAGCUAGUUGGUGGGGUAAAGGCCUACCAAGGCGACGAUCCAUAGCUGGUCUGAGAGGAUGAUCAGCCACAUUGGGACUGAGACACGGCCCAAACUCCUACGGGAGGCAGCAGUGGGGAAUAUUGGACAAUGGGCGCAAGCCUGAUCCAGCCAUGCCGCGUGAGUGAUGAAGGCCCUAGGGUUGUAAAGCUCUUUCACCGGAGAAGAUAAUGACGGUAUCCGGAGAAGAAGCCCCGGCUAACUUCGUGCCAGCAGCCGCGGUAAUACGAAGGGGGCUAGCGUUGUUCGGAAUUACUGGGCGUAAAGCGCACGUAGGCGGAUCGAUCAGUCAGGGGUGAAAUCCCAGGGCUCAACCCUGGAACUGCCUUUGAUACUGUCGAUCUGGAGUAUGGAAGAGGUGAGUGGAAUUCCGAGUGUAGAGGUGAAAU